GUCUAUGGCCAUGUCACCCUGAACAAGCCCAAUGUCUGAUCUCGGAAGCUAAGCAGGGUUGAGCCUGGUUAGUACUUGGAUGGGAGACCACGUAGGAAGACCAGGUGCUGUAGGCU
rnacentral:rRNA from 1 species